rnacentral:rRNA from 1 species
ACCCGCUGAACUUAAGCAUAUCAAUAAGCGGAGGAAAAGAAACCAACAGGGAUUGCCCUAGUAACGGCGAGUGAAGCGGCAACAGCUCAAAUUUGAAAUCUGGCGUCUUUGGCGUCCGAGUUGUAAUUUGUAGAGGAUGCUUUUGGGUUGCCACCGGUCUAAGUUCCUUGGAACAGGACGUCAUAGAGGGUGAGAAUCCCGUAUGUGACCGGCUUAGGCACCCUUUGUAAAGCUCCUUCGACGAGUCGAGUUGUUUGGGAAUGCAGCUCUAAAUGGGAGGUAAAUUUCUUCUAAAGCUAAAUACCGGCCAGAGACCGAUAGCGCACAAGUAGAGUGAUCGAAAGAUGAAAAGCACUUUGGAAAGAGAGUUAAAAAGCACGUGAAAUUGUUGAAAGGGAAGCGCUUGCAAUCAGACUUGCCCGCGGUUGUUCAGCCGGUCUUCUGACCGGUUUACUCUUCCGUGGGCAGGCCAGCAUCAGUUUCGGCGGCCGGAUAAAGGCCUUGGGAAUGUAGCACCCCCUCGGGGGUGUGUUAUAGCCUAGGGUGUAAUACGGCCUGCUGGGACUGAGGUCCGCGCUUCGGCUAGGAUGCUGGCGUAAUGGUUGU